rnacentral:lncRNA from 1 species
CUGUUGUGUCAGUCUCCUACAUGAGGACUGGUGUGGUCUGAUACAUUUGUUCUUAUUGAUGUCUUCAUCACUAGGCUGCAAAGUGGAUAGCGUUCCAAUCAGUGACCUCUUCAUUAACUUCAAUGCCAUGAUUUACAUGUUCCACUCUGAUUUCCUCCACAGCAGGACCAAUGGUACAGACAAUGCUGAGACUAAGAGGUAUCAUAAAUAGGAAGGUCAUAUCCAUCUUCCAAGAGUGAUAUCUCACCAUCAACAUAGGGGGUGAUAUCUUACCAUCAACAAAAGGGGUGCUACUGAGUAUAUUGUAGAUUCUACCAAUAUCUUCACCACCAUGGAGAAGGCCAGGGUCCACUUGAGGGGUGGAGCCAAGUGGCUCAUCCUCUCUGUAUCUUCUCCUGAUACCCCUAUGUUUGUGAUGGGUGUAAACCACUAAUAAAUAUCACCAGCACAGCUUCUUGUACCAUCAACUAUCAGGCCCCACUGGCCAACACCCUGUGUGACAACUUCAGCAUUUUUAUGACUGCCAUAGACCUUCAUAGGGAAGACCAUAGGCAUUCCCUUUAGGAAGGUCAUUCCUCUAAGAAUGCAAAGUUCACUGGCAUGAGUUUUCACAUUCCUGCCACUAAUAUGUUUUUUAUGGGUAUGACAUGCUGGCUGGAGAAAGGUAGAAAAUACAAUGAUCUCCAAAGUGUCACAUGAAGCGUACAUCACUAGAGACCCUGAAAGGGGAAUUCUGGGUAUUCUGAAA